rnacentral:rRNA from 1 species
CUCCAGACUCCUACGGGAGGCAGCAGUGGGGAAUAUUGCACAAUGGGGGAAACCCUGAUGCAGCGACGCCGCGUGAGCGAUGAAGUAUUUCGGUAUGUAAAGCUCUAUCAGCAGGGAAGAAGAUGACGGUACCUGAGUAAGAAGCCCCGGCUAACUACGUGCCAGCAGCCGCGGUAAUACGUAGGGGGCAAGCGUUAUCCGGAUUUACUGGGUGUAAAGGGAGCGUAGACGGCAGUGCAAGUCCGGAGUGAAAGCCCGGGGCUCAACCCUGGGACUGCUCUGGAAACUGUAAAGCUGGAGUGCGGGAGGGGCAGGCGGAAUUCCUGGUGUAGCGGUGAAAUGCGUAGAUAUCAGGAGGGACACCGGCGGCGAAGGCGGCCUGCUGGACCGUAACUGACGUUGAGGCUCGAAAGCGUGGGGAGCAAACAGGAUUAGAUACCCGCGUACC